CAGUAGCCGCGGGAAUACGUAGGGUGCAAGCGUUACUCGGAAUUACUGGGCGUAAAGCGUGCGUAGGUGGUGGUUUAAGUCCGUUGUGAAAGCCCUGGGCUCAACCUGGGAAUUGCAGUGGAUACUGGGUCACUAGAGUGUGGUAGAGGAUAGUGGAAUUUCCGGUGUAGCAGUGAAAUGCGUAGAGAUCGGAAGGAACAUCUGUGGCGAAGGCGACUAUCUGGGCCAACACUGACACUGAGGCACGAAAGCGUGGGGAGCAAACAGGAUUAGAUACCCGCGUAGUCCCUGUCUCUUAUAC
rnacentral:rRNA from 1 species